AGAGUGACGGCUCGAGCAGGUACGAAAGUAGGUCUUAGU
rnacentral:rRNA from 1 species